AGCCGCCGCGGGAAUACGUAGGUGGCAAGCGUUGUCCGGAAUUAUUGGGCGUAGAGCGCGCGCAGGUGGUUUAAUAAGUCUGAUGUGAAAGCCCACGGCUCAACCGUGGAGGGUCAUUGGAAACUGUUAAACUUGAGUGCAGGAGAGAAAAGUGGAAUUCCUAGUGUAGCGGUGAGAUGCGUAGAGAUUAGGAGGAACACCAGUGGCGAAGGCGGCUUUUUGGCCUGUAACUGACACUGAGGCGCGAAAGCGUGGGGAGCAAAUGGGAUUAGAUACCCGCGUAGUCCCUGUCUCUUAUACC
rnacentral:rRNA from 1 species